rnacentral:tRNA from 1 species
AUUUAUUUAGUAUAUAAUGUACAUUUGACUUCCAAUCAAAAAGAUUGAAACUUCAUUCAAAAUAAAUA